CGGUGAAUACGUUCCCGGGUCUUGUACACACCGCCCGUCACACCAUGGGAGUGGGGGAUACCAGAAGUAGGUAGGGUAACCGCAAGGAGCCCGCUUACCACGGUAUGCUUCAUGACUGGGGUGAAGUCGUAACAAGGUAGCCGUAGGGGAACCUGCGGCUGGAUCACCUCCUUUCUAG
rnacentral:rRNA from 1 species